UGACCUCUGAUUAGACUUCAUCAAGGCC
rnacentral:piRNA from 1 species